CCUGGCUGCUCUGGAGCUAAACCUGAUAAAAUGUCUCUUUGAGGACAGUGAAUAGAUAUGGGCAUUUUUCCAAAGCUGCUUCCUUCAGCGUACAGCAAAUUAAAUUCAGUGUCAGCCUUUGGUCUGCUUCCCGCAGGGUCCUUUGAAUGUCCCAGCUUUUAUGUCGUGCCUCAGACUUGUAUGCAGUUUACUGCAAAAUUGGUUGGUUUUCUUUCUUUUUAUCUUCUUCCUUUUUUUUUUUCCCUCCUCACGCUUUGUCUCAGAGCACAGUCUUUGCCGUGUCCCAGAAGCAUCUGGAGCAAAACCAUGGCAAUACGAUGUACCCUCGCAAAAUGACUUAGGUGAAAGCAGUGGAAAAAGCUGGUUACUCCAUCUCCCAGGCCUUUCUCACCCCUUUGGAAAUUUCCACCGAAGCCCACCAGGGACAAGCCGUGAGCCCGCAGGGCUGUAGAGGAUGCCCUGAGAACGUGGGGACACAUGGGAAAGCUCCGUGCACCCCCUGGGAAAGGAGCCUGGCUGGCUGCCUGCAUCUCACAUGGUGUGGAGCAUCUCCUGCGGUCAGCAACAGCGGAUGAGAGCAGUUCCCUGGAGGCACCUCACAGAGUGAGAUCCGUCUGCUGCUGCUGUAGUUUCAUGCCCUUCCAUGGCCACAGAAGAACGCUCAAGCAGAUAUUUCGGUAUACUGCAGAAAUGACCUGAGUGUGCUGGAUUCUGGCUGGGUUAUCCAGGGUCUUUUCUGGCCAGUAAUGUGUUCUCCUAGAGGAGAGCCAGAAAAAGGAUGGGCCAGAGCAACUUUGCUUGAACUCUCCAACCCAAAGUCAUUUCCAAACAUCAUGAGGCUGGAUUUGGAAGCCAAGUUUUGGUGUUCAGGAAGGACUGAUUGUUACUCCCUACCUUAGCCUUAAAUUCGGUAAGGUGCUGAAAAACAAAGUGUAGGCAUAGGAUCAGUUGUGACUCUUAGCAGAUGAACUGGACUGCCUGAUUACCUGUUGAUGAGCCAUUUAAUUGGAGCUCAAUUACACACUCUGGAAGCCUGGCUCCCUGGGACACAGUUACCCAAAUUUCCUCCCUCCGAUGGCUCUCUGCCUCCUGGCUCACCCCAACACCAUGGGGUACCCUGCCAAGCUGGGUGCCCACGAGCACCACACCAGCUUGCAGGGAUGCUACACCCGGCCCCAGUGACAUUAAUGCGAGCUGGAUGGGCCUCGAAGCUAUUGCAAUUACACGUGGUGGAGACGAUCUGCCGUAUCCGGUUAAUAUUUAGGCCAGGGUUGUGCAACGUGUUCUCAUGCUGCCGGGUGUGCACUCACUUCCUUUGACAUUAAUGGCAGGACUCAUGUGAAUGAGGGCUUGCUGUGGUGAGCAGAGCUGCUCUCAGCUUUGCACCACACUGGGGGAUGGGGCAAAGAUAAGAAAAGCCAGGCAGUGUGGCAAAGGGCUUCCCCUUCUCAAGGGUUUUACUCUCAGUGUUUCAUAUCACAGCCAGGCACAGCCUUGUUGGGUCAGGGCUCUGUCUGGGAGGACACCAUGCCAGCUCUGGGCAGGUUCUGUAUGGUCUUUGGUAGAAUGUUUUAGAAGCCAUUUCCUUGCUGCAAAGUGAUCUGUGCCCUGAUCUCACUCUAUCAGAACAGAAUGAGCAGGCAUAACGUGAACACAACUGCCACAAGAAUAAUUCCAGCACCCUUGUUGAGCAAAGAGUAGUGUUAGGGCACACACAAUGGGCAAGGCGUUCAUGUUACUGGAGGUGAUUAAGGGUGGUCAGGCACCAGAAUGGGUUGCCCAGAGAGGUGGUGGAGUCACCGACCCUGUAGGUGUUCCAGGAACAGUUGGACGUUGUGUUGAGGGACGCAGUUUAACGAGAACCAUUGGUGAUGGGUGAAUGGUUGGACUGGGUGAUCCUGUGGGUCUUUUCCAACCGUGGUGAUUCUAUGAAUAGAGCCUGAUAUGGUUUUUUUCCAUGGUCUACAGGAAGUGUCAAAUGUAUAUACUUAAAGAUUAUGCCAUGGCAAGCUAUAGUGCAAACAGUAUUUGUUGUGAAAGUAUCCGGAAGAAGUUUUCAAGAACUAUGUGGAUGUGGCACUGAGGGACACAGUUAGUGGACAUGGUGGUGGGUGGAGAGUCAGACCUGUGAUCUUAGUGGUCUUUUCCAACCUUAAUGAUUCAGUGAUUCUGUGAUUCUGUCAAGUAUUACUGCUGUUACAAGCUCGUGCAUUUUGAAGGUGCAGAGUUGGAGCACAGUGACAGCAGCUCUGCUCUCACUUCUGCAUCCAAAACCACCACCGUGACAGCCUCGGGUUUCCAGCCCAGCUCCUGGGAUAGCAGGUCUGGCUCUGCAGUUUGCCUUAUUUAAUGCAGAAGAAAAGAAAGGGAGGAAAAAACGGCAGCUCUCCGUUGUUGAAGUCAGAUUCGCGUGUCCUAGAUUUCUAUGGCAACCGCAUGCAGUGCAGCAGUGACACCAGCACAUCCACAGCCCUCUUAUCAGCACCCACCAAAACACGGCGGCUGUGACAAGAUGUGCCCGGCCACCUCGAGAGCACGGGGUGGGAAUUAAGGGUUCCAAGCAAUGCCAGAGCAGUGCCAGUGGGAAUGGAGCAGUCCAGAGCAAGAGGAGGGGGCUCAAAGGUGCUGUGCUCCCAAAUGAGGGAGUAAAGAGAUUGCUGCCCGCAGCACCUUGCCAGCCCUGGGCAGGAGCUGCACCAACGCCUGUGCUGGGGAGGCAGCAAUCUGGGCUCUGGGGGCAAAAGGCA
ensembl:lncRNA